GACGAACGCUGGCGGCGUGCCUAAUACAUGCAAGUAGAACGCAGUUGCGAACGGGUGAGUAACGCGUAGGUAACUGCCUCAUAGCGGGGGAUAACUAUUGGAAACGAUAGCUAAUACCGCAUACUGUGAGAUGGACCUGCGUUGUAUUAGCUAGUUGGUGAGGUAAAGGCUCAACAAGGCGACGAUACAUCGCCGACCUGAGAUGGUGAUCGGGCACACUAGGACUAAGACACGGCCCAGAGGCCGACGGGAGGCAGCAGUAAGGAGACGAAGGCAAUGAACGGAAGUCUGACCGAGCAACGCCGGGGUAGUGAAGAAGAUUUUCGGAUCGUAAAGCUCUGUUGUUAGAGAAACGAAAACUAACCAGAAAGGGACGACUAACUACGUGACAGCAGCCGCGGAAAUAC
rnacentral:rRNA from 1 species